rnacentral:rRNA from 1 species
UACGUAGGGACCGAGCGUUGUCCGGAAUCAUUGGGCGUAAAGAGCGUGUAGGCGGCUAUUUAAGUCCUGCGUGAAAUCCUGCGGCUCAACCGCAGACGGUCGUGGGAAACUGGAUGGCUAGAGUGCGGGAGAGGAGAGUGGAAUUCCCGGUGUAGCGGUGAAAUGCGCAGAUAUCGGGAAGAACACCCGUGGCGAAGGCGGCUCUCUGGAACGCAACUGACGCUGAGACGCGAAAGCGUGGGGAGCAAACGGG